CGUUCUCUGCGGUGUACGUACGACGACUUUGUAGCCCUUGAGCCUAUGAAGCACAGUUGAGGAACCGAUCUGUAAGCGAUGUUGUGCAUGUCCGGUCCGGCCGGAAAGCCUGAUUCGCACUGAGAAGUUCCGCCCUUGAACCCAUGGUUCGAGGCCACCGUCGUCAACGGCAUCUGCGGAGAACGC
rnacentral:other from 1 species